rnacentral:rRNA from 1 species
AAUAUGUGCUCCUGGCUACGCCUAGAACGGUACACAUAGUCUUAAUAUCAUGGUUGUUUUUAUUACUAUCUAUAAAUUCUAUUACGUGGUCUAAUUUCUUGUUGCAAAUAUGGCCAUAGCUUUUUUUAAUAUUUCAUUUUCCUCUUUAAUCUUUGCCAUUUCUUUCUUUAAAGCUUUAACUUCCUUCAAAGUCAUAACUUCAUUUUCAUCCACUUUAAUUUCCUUUAUAUCUUUGAUCCAGCCGUUAAUUGUUGAUUUUGCAAUGCCAUAUUCGCUACUUAGCUCAGCCAAGCUCAUUCCUGACUUAAAUAAGUCUACUAUCAUGUCUUUAUAUUCUUGAUCAUAUCUUCUGCCCUUACUCAUAAUGGACACAUCCUUUCUUAACUAAAUAUUAUUUUACUUAGUUCGACUUAAUGUGUCCACUACUUUUGGUCUUAUGUCAAUAUUUUGGACACAAAAAGUCAAACUUUUUCAUGCUGCACUUCUAGCUAAUAAUUCACAUUGAUCUGGAGUCAUGUAAUUAAUAGAAGAGUGUAUCCUUUUUCUGUUAUACCAACCUUCAAUAUAUUUAAAUAUAGCUAUAUUAGCUUCUUCGAAGGUACGGUAUGUAUUUCUAUAUAUUUCUUCCUUCUUUAUUGAAGAAUGGAAAGAUUCUAUACAAGCAUUGUCAUAUGGGCAUCCUUUUUUACUAAAUGAUUGUGUAAUAUUAAAUUCUUUACACAGUUCUUUUAAAUCAUUACUAGUGUAUUGGGAGCCUAAGUCACUAUGGAAUAUUAGCUGCUUAUUCUUAUCAGGACUUUGGCAGUAAUAAGCAUUUUUUAAAGCUUUAGAAACUAAAUCAUUGGUCAUCCUUUUACCGAAAGCGUAGCCAAUGAUUUUUCUAGAGUGUAAAUCAAGAACUGACGCUAAAUAGCACCAACCAUCUGUUAUAGUAUGAAUAUAUGUAAUAUCUCCUACCCAUUUUUCAUUAAUAGAAAUAGUUGUAAAAUCUCUUUUUAAAACGUUUUCUAAACCUUCUGCUACCUUUUUAUCUGAAUGAGGCUUGUAUUUUUUUACAGUUAUUGCACAAAGGCCAAGUUCAGUCAUUCUUCUUUGAACUCUUUUUAAGGAGAUAUCAAAGCCUUCAGUACCAAGUAUAUGAUGAAUCCUAGGAGCUCCAUAUAUACCUUUAUUAGCUUUAUAUAUCCUUAUAAUAGCUGUUUUUAACUCCUCAUUUUCUACUUCUCUUGCAGAUUUAGUUUUAUCAAAAAAUUUAUAAUAUGUGCUCCUGGCUACGCCUAGAACGGUACACAUAGUCUUAAUAUCAUGGUUGUUUUUAUUACUAUCUAUAAAUUCUAUUACGUGGUCUAAUUUCUUGUUGCAAAUAUGGCCAUAGCUUUUUUUAAUAUUUCAUUUUCCUCUUUAAUCUUUGCCAUUUCUUUCUUUAAAGCUUUAACUUCCUUCAAAGUCAUAACUUCAUUUUCAUCCACUUUAAUUUCCUUUAUAUCUUUGAUCCAGCCGUUAAUUGUUGAUUUUGCAAUGCCAUAUUCGCUACUUAGCUCAGCCAAGCUCAUUCCUGACUUAAAUAAGUCUACUAUCAUGUCUUUAUAUUCUUGAUCAUAUCUUCUGCCCUUACUCAUAAUGGACACAUCCUUUCUUAACUAAAUAUUAUUUUACUUAGUUCGACUUAAUGUGUCCACUACUUUAUACUAACACCAGGGUAACCUGCCUCAUAGAGGGGGAUAGCCUCCCGAAAGGGAGAUUAAUACCGCAUAACAUCAUUUUAGCGCAUGCUGAAAUGAUCAAAGGAGUAAUCCGCUAUGAGAUGGACCCGCGGCGCAUUAGCUAGUUGGUGAGGUAACGGCUCACCAAGGCCACGAUGCGUAGCCGACCUGAGAGGGUGAUCGGCCACAUUGGGACUGAGACACGGCCCAGACUCCUACGGGAGGCAGCAGUGGGGAAUAUUGCACAAUGGGGGAAACCCUGAUGCAGCAACGCCGCGUGAGUGAUGACGGCCUUCGGGUUGUAAAGCUCUGUCUUUAGGGACGAUAAUGACGGUACCUAAGGAGGAAGCCACGGCUAACUACGUGCCAGCAGCCGCGGUAAUACGUAGGUGGCAAGCGUUGUCCGGAUUUACUGGGCGUAAAGGGAGCGUAGGUGGAUUCUUAAGUGAGAUGUGAAAUACCCGGGCUUAACUUGGGUGCUGCAUUUCAAACUGGGAAUCUAGAGUGCAGGAGAGGAAAGUGGAAUUCCUAGUGUAGCGGUGAAAUGCGUAGAGAUUAGGAAGAACACCAGUGGCGAAGGCGACUUUCUGGACUGUAACUGACACUGAGGCUCGAAAGCGUGGGGAGCAAACAGGAUUAGAUACCCUGGUAGUCCACGCCGUAAACGAUGGAUACUAGGUGUGGGAGGUAUCAACUCCUUCCGUGCCGCCGUUAACACAUUAAGUAUCCCGCCUGGGGAGUACGGUCGCAAGAUUAAAACUCAAAGGAAUUGACGGGGACCCGCACAAGCAGCGGAGCAUGUGGUUUAAUUCGAAGCAACGCGAAGAACCUUACCUAGACUUGACAUCUCCUGAAUUACUCUUAAUCGAGGAAGUCCCUUCGGGGACAGGAAGACAGGUGGUGCAUGGUUGUCGUCAGCUCGUGUCGUGAGAUGUUGGGUUAAGUCCCGCAACGAGCGCAACCCUUAUUGUUAGUUGCUACCAUUUAGUUGAGCACUCUAGCGAGACUGCCCGGGUUAACCGGGAGGAAGGUGGGGAUGACGUCAAAUCAUCAUGCCCCUUAUGUCUAGGGCUACACACGUGCUACAAUGGCUGGUACAAAGAGAAGCAAGACCGUGAGGUGGAGCAAAACUCAAAAACCAGUCCCAGUUCGGAUUGUAGGCUGAAACUCGCCUACAUGAAGCCGGAGUUGCUAGUAAUCGCGAAUCAGCAUGUCGCGGUGAAUACGUUCCCGGGUCUUGUACACACCGCCCGUCACACCAUGAGAGUUGGCAAUACCCGAAGUCUGUGAGCUAACCUGUAAAGGGGGCAGCGGCCGAAGGUAGGGUCAGCGAUUGGGGUGAAGUCGUAACAAGGUAGCCGUAGGAGAACCUGCGGCUGGAUCACCU